rnacentral:rRNA from 1 species
UACGUAGGGAGCAAGCGUUGUCCGGAAUCAUUGGGCGUAAAGCGCGCGUAGGUGGCUCUAUAAGUCCGUUGUGAAAGUCAAAGGCUCAACCUUUGAAAGCCGAUGGAUACUGUAGAGCUAGAGUCCGGAAGAGGCGAGUGGAAUUCCUGGUGUAGCGGUGGAAUGCGCAGAUAUCAGGAGGAACACCAAUAGCGAAGGCAGCUCGCUGGGACGUGACUGACACUAAGGCGCGAAAAGCGUGGGGGAGCGAACAGG